UGCCCUUUGGCCAAGUUGGUAAGGCAAUGGCUUCUGGUGCCAUCAUGCGCUGGUUCGAGUCCAGCAAGGGCAA
rfam:Oenococcus kitaharae DSM 17330 chromosome, whole genome shotgun sequence.